rnacentral:sRNA from 1 species
UGUUUGCACUUAUCGGGAAGGGUGAGAAUCUUCGACCAAGGUUCGAGUCGAGCGAAAGCGAAACAACGUUGCCGCAGGCAACGGCCCGAAGGGUGAGGAGCGAAGCGACGAAUAAUCCUUCCCCCACCACCA